UACGGGGGGAGCAAGCGUUGUUCGGAUUUACUGGGCGUAAAGGGCGCGUAGGCGGCCACCGCAAGUCGACUGUGAAAUCUCCGGGACUUAACCCGGAAAGGUCAGCCGAUACUGCGGGGCUAGAGUGCAGAAGGGGCAACUGGAAUUCUCGGUGUAGCGGUGGAAUGCGCAGAUAUCAGGAGGAACACCCAUAGCGAAGGCAGCUUGCUGGGACGUUACUGACGCUAAGGCGCGAAAGCGUGGGGAGCGAACGAGGA
rnacentral:rRNA from 1 species